UCUUUGAAGGUCCCUUCCAACCCAACCCGUUCUGUAAAUCAAUGAUUCUUGCAGCUCCAGCACCGGGACCACCAGAGCGGGGGGGAUCACCCCGGCCUCCUUCCCCCCCUCCUCCUGCGGGGGGCUGCCCCACAUGUCUGGGGCAGUGCCGCUGCCCGGGGACCCAGCUGACACGGACACUGGUGGGACAGACCCACAAGCUGCAGGCGCAGGCAAGCCCUGGGGGUUGGGGGGGACGCGGGGGGGGCUGUGGUGGUUGGUGGGGGGCAGUGGCGGUUGGGGGAGGUGGGUCUCAACCCUUUCUCUCCCAUCCAGGUGGAAUCCUUUGAAGGCUGGAUCCGAGGGGGGAGCCCCACGCCCUGGGAGCAGCUCCAGGUGGGUCAGCCCCAUCCCGGCCCCCCCAGCCUGGGGAUGUGGGGUGGAGGGGGGGGAGGGUGGUGGGAUGGGGUGGGGAGGUGGGGGGGGGAGGGAGCUGGGGGGCUGGGACAUCACCCUUGUGCUGCAGAGGUUUAGGAAGCUGAAGGAUGCUCAGGAUGCCCUGGAGCGGGCGUACCUGCGAGCCCGGCACCAGCACCCGGGGGGCUCGGGGGACUUCGAUCCCGACCGGGCGGUAGAAGGGGAGAUCUUCCACCUGGGACUGCGCCUGGAGGAGCUGAAGGAACGGCUGGAGCCCGGGGUUGGGGGGCAGCCCCCCCCGCAGCCCCCAUCCCCACCGUCCCCUUCCCCACCACCAGCCCCCCGCUCCCCACACCCCGAGGUGAGCUGGGCAAGGCUGCGGGGGGGGGGGAGGGGGGGGAUGGAGCUGGGGGGUGUGAAGAUGCUGGGUGGGGGCACCCUGCUGCAGCUGGGGUGGGGGUCAGCCUUCUCUGACCCCCACCCUCCCCACCCCCCCUUUUGCUGUGCCCUGCAGACCGCCACGCUGACGGAGGGUCCCCAGGGGACGGCGGGGGACAGCGAGGUGGGGACGGGGGGGUUGCCCCGGCGCCUCUGGCACAAGCAGCUCCGAGUGGAGGAGGAUUUCGAGGACCUUCUGGCCCAGUGAGUCACCUCACAGUGGGGCAGGGGGGGGACACACAGGGAGGCACCCCCCAAAAUUAUUAACUCCGGCUUGUGGGUGUCCCCCCCCCCACUCCAGGUACAAGCAUUUCAAGUCCUUGCCGGAGUCGCUGAGCCUGGAGCAGCUGAGCCUGGUGGAGAGUGGGUCCCAGGAGGAGGUGGAUGGACCUGCAGCAGGGGACAGUGGCCCCAGCAAGGUCCCCUGUAGGACACGGUCACUAGAAGAGGAGGCUGACCUCGUGUCCUCCCCCCUGUAAGUGUUGUGGGAGGACAUGGGAGCUUCACAUGAGCUUCAUACGAGCUUCAUACGAGCUUCAUAGGAGCUUCAACAAGGCCAAGUGCCAGGUCCUACACUUGGGC
rnacentral:lncRNA from 1 species